rnacentral:piRNA from 1 species
UGGCGAUCAGUUCCUUCAGCUUUUGUUG